UGUCUUCUUUAUCAUUUAAAAACUCUGCGAUCCAGCAUAUUCACAGGACGAAAACCCUGUCUUCUGCAGCCUGGAUGCAAACCCAGGUCUGUCUGUGGCGACCCCUCUGGUUGCACUGCCGUACGGCUAUGACUGUGCUAGAAGAUCUCCAGACACCGUCAUGGGAUUUCAAGUAGACUUCAGCCAGCAUUCGUGGGGGUUUGGACUCAGUUGUCAGCAAACUUAGCAAUUCUGUAGCAGCACAUUUCCUGUCAGAUUUUACAUUCAGAAAUAGUGGCUCCCACCCUUAGUGAAUAUCGUGCUAUGCAUGUGGGUUUGGUCGCCAAACUUAGCAAUAGAGGUAGCCUUUUAUUUGUUGCAUGUGUGAUUUGAACAGAAUAAUGAGCAGCAGAAAUUAAAUGGAAAAAUAAUGAUAGCUGCAAUCUUAUUAAACUCAUUCUGUGAAUUUGUUCUUAUCAUAAUAAGAAUUUCUGGGUAUUUCAUAAGUGUUGUUUUCUAUAAAUUAUUAAAACCAAAUCAACCAAACAUCUGUUCUUUGAAAAUUUCAAGUAAGAAUAUUUCAUUAUGGCAUUGAGAUUUGUAUAUGCCAUCCUUGUAUUUCAUUUAGAUGCAUGUUUUGAUUUGUUUUUAUACCAAGUUUAAAGAUAAAUGCUAUCAUACUUCAGUUAUGAUGUUAAGCAUUUUAAGGAUCAAGACUUUGUUCUUUAUUGCUACCAUUCAAAAGGACUUGGAAGGGCUUAUGAGUCCAUGCAAAGGGUGUAGAAUGACUCAAGUGACAGAGAUAAAGACACAUGAGGACAAAGGACAGCAGGAAGUAGUAGAUAAAAAAGGGACAAUACAAUAUUUGGUUUAAAAAGAGUUGAAGAGAGUUCAGAGGGCAGCAUGACAGUUGUGAGCAAUUGUUUGCAACACUAAAAUCACAAGCCAGUUGAAACAAGAUCAACUCUGAAAUGUCUAGCAAAGACAGUUAUGAUGAAGAAGACAACACAAAUAACUGACACUCACAAAGAACAGUCAUUACAUUAAAUGACAGUCAUCACAUCCUAGGACUCUUUUUGGGGUAUUUGGCUCUUUAUUAAGAGGUCACAAGCAGUGAAGAAGGGUUAAAGCAUGUUAAAAGACUUUAGGGUCUAUGCAUCACUUAAAGGAGUACUUCAAGGCCCCGUUCAUUCAAGGAUGACAGUCAUGACAGCUAACAUGCAUGAAGACCUUGUGUCAAGUCAUGGGAGAGAGAAGGACAGUGUAUGACAGUGAAAGGAUUCUUAUUGUGUAAAGGUUGCCUACACAUUCACGACAGUCAUCAAGUUCAUUCUCUGUGAAGAAUCAUCCAUAGUCUAUUAAGACUACAGUCGUAAGGACAGCCUAAAGCAAACUUUAAGCAUACACAGCUAGUCACCAUCAUGGAAGACAUCUAGAACCUGCACACCUGUGAAAGAAACCUACACAUCUGAAGGUAGCAUUGCCAUGUGCAUUAAUGGAGUAUUGUUGAUAGGUGCAGGGUAUGCUUGUGAAUAAGGUAGCCAGCAAAGAAGGUCAUUGCUUCCAUAGAAAAUGAUAGUCAUAAAUGGCAGAUCUCGACUGAACAGUGCAUAAGAAUGGGAUUGGAAAGUGAUCAGAUUUUGUAUUAUGGCUGGAUCAAGCAUAUUUUUGAAGUGAAUGUAUACCAACAGUGUCAAGAGCCAUGAGAUAGCAAGGAGGACUAUCAUAAUAAAUAGUCUUUAAGUUUGAGUUAUCUAAAAGACAAAAUCAUUGAUCUUUAUGCAAAAGAGAGGCAGAUCACAGUGGACAAAAGAUAUGAGAGGUAUGUUCAUGCUUGCUUUGAUCCCAUGGAUUGUUUGAGUUGCUCAAGAUGUGUAGUGAAUGACAAGUAAAGAACAAGUUACUUAUGGAUACAAGUGAUUGAAGUCAAUACGAUAAGGAGAUAAAGAUAUCAAGUUCAGUGGUAAGUUCAAUUUUAAGACUCCUUAGAGAUAUUUUCACUCCACAAAGACUCCUUAUGGGUAUUAAUGGCAACAAGGAGCAGUUCUAAGCAGUUUUGAAAGCUUUUAAUCGACUAUUUCUUUUCCAUACGACCCAAGGAGUUUUUCAACCUUCAAAGCUUUUAAAACCACAUGCCCUAUGAUCAUGGGGAGAGGUGACAGCAAUCAAGGAAAAGUAAAAGGAAGUUAUGCAACAUAUGGAGAGAAUAUAGGCAGUUUGAAGACUUUUAAAAGGAGUUGAGGAAAUUUAGGCGGCAGUUCCAAGCAUCUAAGAGCAUAUUUAUGAGUUUCAUCAAUAGAUGAGUCAAAGAGGAGGACUUCAUGAAGACACCUUUUUUGGAGCAGUUUUGAAGGCUGAAAAGUAGCAGCAAAAUGUUUGGACGCCCAAAAAGUUUGACUCAGCAAGUAAUGUAAUCAAAAUGUCUUUUUUUUCUUCUCACAUGUUCCUAAUUGUAGCUAGCUGUUGCACAGCUAUAAAACCCAGCCUUGGGACUUAUUUCUAAGUCAGUUCAUGCUGUCUAGGCCAUAUAUUGUAACCUGAAACAAGGUUCUCUUGGCCUAGAUUUUGUAAUAAGACCCAAUUUUCAAAUAUGUACAGCUGCAUGCAAACACCUUUUAUCAAUAAAAGUAAAUAGUUUUGCCUUCUCUAA